GAUGAACGCUGGCGGCGUGCCUAAUGCAUGCAAGUCGAGCGAACAGACGAGGAGCUUGCUCCUCUGACGUUAGCGGCGGACGGGUGAGUAACACGUGGAUAACCUACCUAUAAGACUGGGAUAACUUCGGGAAACCGGAGCUAAUACCGGAUAAUAUAUUGAACCGCAUGGUUCAAUAGUGAAAGACGGUUUUGCUGUCACUUAUAGAUGGAUCCGCGCCGCAUUAGCUAGUUGGUAAGGUAACGGCUUACCAAGGCAACGAUGCGUAGCCGACCUGAGAGGGUGAUCGGCCACACUGGAACUGAGACACGGUCCAGACUCCUACGGGAGGCAGCAGUAGGGAAUCUUCCGCAAUGGGCGAAAGCCUGACGGAGCAACGCCGCGUGAGUGAUGAAGGUCUUCGGAUCGUAGAACUCUGUUAUUAGGGAAGAACAAAUGUGUAAGUAACUAUGCACGUCUUGACGGUACCUAAUCAGAAAGCCACGGCUAACUACGUG
rnacentral:rRNA from 1 species